rnacentral:rRNA from 1 species
GAUGAACGCUGGCGGCGUGCCUAAUACAUGCAAGUCGAGCGAACAGACGAGGAGCUUGCUCCUCUGACGUUAGCGGCGGACGGGUGAGUAACACGUGGAUAACCUACCUAUAAGACUGGGAUAACUUCGGGAAACCGGAGCUAAUACCGGAUAAUAUAUUGAACCGCAUGGUUCAAUAGUGAAGGACGGUUUUGCUGUCACUUAUAGAUGGAUCCGCGCCGCAUUAGCUAGUUGGUAAGGUAACGGCUUACCGAGGCAACGAUGCGUAGCCGACCUGAGAGGGUGAUCGGCCACACUGGAACUGAGACACGGUCCAGACUCCUACGGGAGGCAGCAGUAGGGAAUCUUCCGCAAUGGGCGAAAGCCUGACGGAGCAACGCCGCGUGAGUGAUGAAGGUCUUCGGAUCGUAAAACUCUGUUAUUAGGGAAGAACAAAUGUGUAAGUAACUAUGCACGUCUUGACGGUACCUAAUCAGAAAGCCACGGCUAACUACGUG